rnacentral:rRNA from 1 species
ACGGAGGCCCCGAGCGUUGUUCGGAAUUACUGGGCGUAAAGCGCACGUAGGCGGCUUUGUAAGUUAGAGGUGAAAGCCCGGGGCUCAACUCCGGAACUGCCUUUAAGACUGCAUCGCUUGAACAUCGGAGAGGUAAGUGGAAUUCCGAGUGUAGAGGUGAAAUUCGUAGAUAUUCGGAAGAACACCAGUGGCGAAGGCGACUUACUGGACGAUUGUUGACGCUGAGGUGCGAAAGCGUGGGGAGCAAACAGGA